GAUCCUGGCUCAGGAUGAACGCUAGCUACAGGCUUAACACAUGCAAGUCGAGGGGCAGCAUGGUCUUAGCUUGCUAAGACUGAUGGCGACCGGCGCACGGGUGAGUAACACGUAUCCAACCUGCCGUCUACUCUUGGACAGCCUUCUGAAAGGAAGAUUAAUACAAGAUGGCAUCAUGAGUCCGCAUGUUCACAUGAUUAAAGGUACUUCCGGUGGACGAGUGGGG
rnacentral:rRNA from 1 species